rnacentral:rRNA from 1 species
UACAGAGGGUGCGAGCGUUGUUCGGAAUUAUUGGGCGUAAAGGGCGCGUAGGCGGUGCGGUAAGUCACCUGUGAAAACUCUGGGCUCAACUCAGAGCCUGCAGGCGAAACUCCCGUGCUGGAGUGUGGGAGAGGAGAGUGGAAUUCCUGGUGUAGCGGUGAAAUGCGCAGAUAUCAGGAAGAACACCUAUGGCGAAGGCAGCUCUCUGGGACGGUACUGACGCUGAGACGCGAAAGCGUGGGGAGCGAACAGG